rnacentral:rRNA from 1 species
GGAAUCUUCCACAAUGGGCGCAAGCCUGAUGGAGCAACACCGCGUGAGUGAAGAAGGGUUUCGGCUCGUAAAACUCUGUUGUUGGAGAAGAACGUGCGUAAGAGUAACUGUUUACGCAGUGACGGUAUCCAACCAGAAAGUCACGGCUAACUACGUGCCAG